GAUGAACGCUGGCGGCGUGCCUAAUACAUGCAAGUCGAGCGAACAGACGAGGAGCUUGCUCCUCUGACGUUAGCGGCGGACGGGUGAGUAACACGUGGAUAACCUACCUAUAAGACUGGGAUAACUUCGGGAAACCGGAGCUAAUACUGGAUAAUAUAUUGAACCGCAUGGUUCAAUAGUGAAAGACGGUUUUGCUGUCACUUAUAGAUGGAUCCGCGCCGCAUUAGCUAGUUGGUAAGGUAACGGCUUACCAAGGCAACGAUGCGUAGCCGACCUGAGGGGGGGAUCGGCCACACUGGAAGUUAGACACGGUCCAGACUCCUAAGGGAGGCAGCAGUAGGGAAUCUUCCGCAAUGGGCGAAAGCCUGACGGAGCAACGCCGCGUGAGUGAUGAAGGUCUUCGGAUCGUAAAACUCUGUUAUUAGGGAAGAACAAAUGUGUAAGUAACUAUGCACGUCUUGACGGUACCUAAUCAGAAAGCCACGGCUAACUACGUG
rnacentral:rRNA from 1 species